CCGAGUUUACAACUCCCAAACCCCUGUGAACAUACCUAUAACGUUGCCUCGGCGGUGCCCGCUCCCCGUAAAACGGGACGGCCCGCCAGAGGACCCACAAACCCUGUUUCCAAAGUAUCUUCUGAGUAAACAUAAGUAAAUAAUCA
rnacentral:misc_RNA from 1 species